rnacentral:rRNA from 1 species
GGAGGUCACUGCUAUUGGGAUUCGACUAAACCAUGCGAGUCGAGAGGGUUCGGCCCUCGGCAAACGGCUCAGUAACACGCGGGAUAAUCUGCCCUUAGGUGGAGGAUAACCUCGGGAAACUGAGAAUAAUACUCCAUAGAUCUAGGAUGCUGGAAUGCAUCUAGGUUGAAAGUUCCGGCGCCUAAGGAUGAGUCUGCGGACUAUCAGGCUGUAGUCAGGGUAAAGACCUGACUAACCUACGACGGAUACGGGUUGUGAGAGCAAUAACCCGGAGACGAUAUCUGAGACACGAUAUCGGGCCCUACGGGGCGCAGCAGGCGCGAAACCUUCACACUGUGCGAAAGCGCGAUGAGGGGAUCCCAAGUGCUUGCACGUAAGUGUAAGCUGUUUCUGUGUCUAAAAAGCAUAGAGAGUAAGGGCUGGGUAAGACGGGUGCCAGCCGCCGCGGUAAUACCUGCAGCUCAAGUGGUGACCGCUAUUAUUGGGCCUAAAACGUCCGUAGCCGGUUUAGUAAAUGCCUGGGUAAAUCGUGUAGCUUAACUAUACGAAUUCCGGGUAGACUGCUAAACUUGAGACCGGGAGAGGCUAGAGGUACUUCUGGGGUAGAGGUGGAAAUUCUGUAAUCCUAGGGGGACCACCCAGUGGCGAAGGCGUCUAGCUAGAACGGGUCUGACGGUGAGGGACGAAGCCCUGGGGCGCAAACCGGAUUAGAUACCCGGGUAGUCCAGGGUGUAAACGCUGCUUGCUUGAUGUUAGUCGGGCUCUGAGCCCGAUUAGUGUCGGAGAGAAGUUGUUAAGCAAGCUGCCUGGGAAGUACGAUCGCAAGGCUGAAACUUAAAGGAAUUGGCGGGGGAGCACAGCAACGGGUGGAGCGUGCGGUU